rnacentral:lncRNA from 1 species
CACUUUUCCUAUCUAUAGAAACCACAAAAAUUCUGAUUAAUUUAGAGAGGAAGGUGGAGUAUGAAUCCUAGGUCAGGGAAAAUAGUAACAUAGCAUGAGUUCAUAGCCCAGGGUUUGCUAUUUUACAUGAAUUAAGUCUUUCAUGAAGUUAUAUCAUCUUUCCUGUUUCUUUCUUUCUUUCCUUCAUUCUAUCAUUUCAUAUAUAUAUAUAUUUUUGUUUGUUUGUUUGUGUUUUUUUGGUACUGGAGAUUUAACCAAGGGAUCCUUAACCACUUAGCCACAUUUCCAUCCCCUCUUAAAAAUAUUUUAUUUACAAGGGCUGGGGUUGUGGCUCAGUUGUAGAGUGCUCGCCUAGCACGUGCAAGGCCCUGGGUUCGAUCCUCAUCACCACAUAAAAAUAAAAAAAAUAAGAGUAUUGUCUACAACUAAAAAUAUUUUAUUUACAGGCAAGUUUUCACUAAGUUGCUUAAGGACUCCCUAAAUUGCUGAGGCUGACUUUGAACUUGCAAUCUUCCUUCCUCAGCCUCCUGAGCAACAGGGAUUACAGGCCUGCACACCAUGCCCAGAAUUUUUUAUUAUCUUUGAAACGAGUUGUCUUGUGAUUGAUGGCAUGUUGUGUUGGUGUCAGCCAGGGGUGGCCAUACUGCCUUUGUCUCACUGCCUCAUGCCUGAGUGAACUUGCUCAGAGCUGCUCAUUAUCUUGCAUUGUAGACAUGAUACCUAAUUGAAUACUUUAAAAAAUAUUUUAAAUUUUUAAUUGAUUAUAAUAAUUUUACAUAUUCAUGGGGUACAGUGUGACAUUUCAAUACACAACAUGUAAUGAUCAGAUCAGGGUAAUAUGUAUAUUCACCCCCUCAACCAUUACCAUUUCCUUAUGCUGGGAACAUUCCAAAUCCUCUCUACUAAACUAUUCUGAAAUGUUUCAAUUAAGUAUUGUCAACCAUAGUUACCCUACUGUGCUAUAGAUGUUUAGAAGUUAUUCCUCCUGGGCUGAAGUGUAGCUCAGUGGAAGAGCAUGCAUUUAGCAAGGCCCUGUGUUCAAUCCCCAGCACUGCAAAACACAACAAGAAGUUAUUCCUUCUAUCCAACUGCACUCCCAUACUUGUUAACCACCCUCUCCAUCCCCCACUACCCAACCCCACCUAAGGAAAUUUAAUUUCUGUAUAACAUGUUUUCCAACAGACUAUAAUGUACACUACAUGUAUAAUUUUAAAAGUUCUGGGAAUCAUCAAGUAGAAAGAAACUGAUGAAAAUAAUUUUAAUAAUGUAUUUUACUUAAAAUCCAAAAUAUUACCUUUUUUUUUUCUUGGUGGAACUGGAAUUGAACCCAGGGUUUCUUGUAUGCUAGGCAACUGCUCUUCCAUUGAACUAUAUCCCUAGCCUUUUUUAUUUUUAUUUUUUUUAGUUUGAGGUAGGAUCUCUCUAAGUGGUCCAGGCUGACCUUGAACUUGGGAGUCUUCUGCCUUAGCCUCCUGAUUAGCUAGGGAUUACACACACAGGAUUACUCCUGCCACUGUGCCCAGAUAGAAUAUUAUAAUUUCAAUAUCUGUCAGAUACAAGAAUGUAUUAAUGAAACUUGUCAUUUUUUUCAUACCAACUCUUUGAAAUCAGGGGUGUAUUUUGCACUCAGAAAAUAUCUUCAUUCAGACUUGCCGAAGUUCAAGUGCUCAAUAGCUACUUGUGAUUGGUGGCUAUUGUAUAGGAUUACUGGGGUUGGAAAAAUGGUAGCCUUGAAACCCGAAUGUACUCAGAUCAGGCUUAAGGCUCUGUGCAAGUGCUCUGCUAAAACAUAAUUUAUUUCACCUUUUUCAUAUGGAACAACUCUAUUUAAUAAAUACCUGGUCCUUUCCCCCAUACAUAUCCGUCCACUGUCGUUGCUCCUCCAAGCUGGUUUUUCCCUCCCUGCUCUGUGCUGUACUCCUCUCUGUUCCUCAACUCUUUUCCCAGGACCAUAGCCCCAUCUUCUUUCUCCAUCUGCACGAUGCUUUUAGCCCACACCACCAUAUUUUUUCCUACUCCCUAGCUGACUUUCUAUCCAACAGACUUUUAUACCCAGCUGUGUGGUCCCAACAUAUCUACUUUCUUCUUCCCUGGGAAGCUCCCUCCCUCACUAGCCACAUUUCUCUUUACCAAACCAGACGCUCUUCCUCUCACAACCUCUCCCUUUUCUGCCUCUGUUACUUGCUCUUUGCCUACCCCCCCAUUUCUCCUGGAACUAGCUCCUUCUCUCUUGUGAACUCUGUGUCUUUCCUUUUGCAUGCUUACUCUCUCCCAUACUCUGCACUCUUUCCUCCAAGACUUAUUAUCUACACACUCUCUUUGCCCCCUUUCUGCCAGACCUCAUGUAAGAAAAAUGUAAUCAAGGGGCUGGGGUUGUGGUUCAGUGGUAGAGCACUUGCCUAGCAUGUGUGAGGCACUGGGUUCAAUCCUCAGCACCACAUAUAAAUAAAUGAAUAAAAUAAAAGUCCAUCAACAACUAAAAAAAUAUUAAAAGAAAGAAAGAAAAAUGGAAUCAAUCAGGCUCCCUCGCCAAGGAAGCAAUGACUAAGAUGUCCUAUGUAAGUCGGGAACAAUAGAGCAUGCUCAUUCUUAUAUAACCACACAUCACAUUUGGCAUGCAGCUGGCUCGUUGUCAUUCUGUAUAUAAGCUGAGCAGGGGCUUUCUGCAGCAUGGAUUGAAUGAAGAUAUGUCAGACCUCCCUGCAGCUCUGCAUGUCUUCUGUAGACAUAUAUAGACUAUCUCAUCCAUCAAUGAUGGAAUACACUUUCAUCCCAGCUGCACACGGAUCCUUCUCUAACACAGACCAUGUUAUGUAAGCUAUCACAUAUGUUGGCAUGCAAUUGUAAUAUUACCUUAAAAGAUUUUUUGGCACCUGUAGGGUCAUUUUGAUGGCUCCCUUUCCAUUGGUAUUAAUUUUUUAAUUCUUGCUUUUUUCUUGAUUAGACUUAUUUAUUUUUAAAUCAAACUUUAGCUAUAUUAUUUUUCUCUAUUUUAUAUAUUUCUGCCCCUGCUCUUACUUUUUCCUUCCUACUACAUAAUCUGAAAAUAACUUGAUUGUUAUUCUAGCUUCUUUCUGAUACAAAGACUCUAAGUUGCAAAUAUUCAUCUGAGUACUGUUUCAUACCAGAGAUCCUGAUUUUAACCUUUUGUUAUCACUUAGUUUGAAGCAUUUUUUAUUUGCUUUUACUGUGCUUUCUUCCUUGACCUCUGAGAUAUUUAUGUGUGCCAUUUAAUUUUGAAGUAGUUGACAUGUGGAGGUGAGGUUCUAUAUAACUUAAGGUGAUUGAUUUCUAAUGUAAUAACUCAUUUGGAAAACACAGUCUGCACAAUUUCAAUUUUUAAAAAAAGUAAUGGAAAUGCUUUUAUUUUAAUUGUAU